rnacentral:rRNA from 1 species
AACGCUGGCGGCGUGCCUAACACAUGCAAGUCGAACGGAGCUUAUGAAGAAAGAUACUCGGUAGAUGGAAUUAUAAGCUAGUGGCGGACGGGUGAGUAACGCGUGGAGAACCUGCCCUGUACCGGGGGAUAACAGAGGGAAGCUUCUGCUAAUACCGCAUAAGCGCACGGCACCGCAUGGUGCAGUGUGAAAAAACUCCGGUGGUACAGGAUGGCUCCGCGUUGGAUUAGCUUGUUGCGGGGCAACGGCCCACCAAGGCGACGAUCCCAUAGCCGGCCUGAGAGGGUGAACGGCCACAUUGGGACUGAGACACGGCCCAGACUCCUACGGGAGGCAGCAGUGGGGAAUAUUGCACAAUGGGGGGAACCCUGAUGCAGCCGACGCCGCGUGAAGGAAGAAGUAUCUCGGUAUGUAAACUUCUAUCAGCAGGGAAGACAAUGACGGUACCUGCAUAAGAAGCCCCGGCUAACUACGUGCCAGCCGCUGC